UGGGAUAAUUGUUUCAAAUUUCAAAACUCUCUCUAACGCAUGUAAAACCUAAGUUUCUUCAUUCUUUGGGCAUUAGCCUUUUAGUCAUGGCUUUUUGUGUUUCAGGCACCUUAAUGUGAGCAACACUUUGCUUUCUGCGUGCAUCUAUUUCAAAUUGAGCUUUAUAUCAAAACCUACACCAGAUUAUCAGAAAUUUGCUUUUAUCUUGAAUAUGCUCAGUUUCGAAAUGACUCUGCCUUUUCCUAAACAAAGAAACACAUUUUUUUUCUACUUCAAUCAAUCAAGCUAUCGUUUUCAAUUUCAAUUAAAAUUUGCCAUGCCAUUCCUGGCUCAACUAUGCAUUGAUCGAUCCAAGUAGAGGGGCACACAGUUCAAAACUCACAACAGGAUUUCUCUGGAUUCACUACUUCUACUCCUUGAAACUUGACGAUGACAGAAAAGGAGAUCUAGCCACAUUGCAUACCUUUACAGCCACUUCCACUUCGUGAGUGAAAGAAUGCGCAGCUCAUGUUUCGAAUGCUCCCAUUGUUCAACAUGAUACUUUGACUCGAUUCAGUAAGUUGGCCGGUGACUUAUACGUGAAAUACAGAUUGCUGCUAGAUUAGCUUUAGGAAGUUAGGGAAAAUUUGUUUAUGUCUAUUGUCCUCCUUUAAUUUUAAGAAAAUUACUUCUUGGGCAUUUUGAUGGCGUUUGACUGAUAGUAAAACUUUAUUUCCUCUUUUCAGCUUGAAGUGUUUACAGUUUUCAAGUCAAAAAAGAUCAAUAAUGGAUCUGGGAAAAAAAGAAUUAUGUUGGCGGGACCUCCCACUUUGACCAAAAAAGGAGAAGAUACAGCAGAAAAGAGAGCAUGAAAGAAACGUACCCAUCUUUAAAAAUACAAAUGCUUACCAGUAGUACCUAUUUAGUUUUAAGCCUGGACCAGCAGAUCGAGAUGAACACGAAACUAAAUUUUUUUAGUUUUAAUUGAAGUUUUUUUGGCAAAAAUUGUUCCCCUUCUAAAACAGUGUUGAAAACACAUCUUCAAGAGGAGGAGCAAACCUAUCAAUUUUUGCCACAGUCAAUUUUUGGAUUCCAAGCUGAACCUGCUUUGAAUUUCUAUUUUUGGAGCUCAUUAGUAAAUACAUGGUAGUAAAAAGUGCAGUUGAUAGUGCAUUGAGGAUAUUUAUUUUUCGUACCAAAGAAUGGAAUAGACUCUUGACACAAAUUUCCAGAAAUGAUAUGUUGUGGUCCUCUAUGAUUUUAAGGAAUUAUUUCUCCCAUCGCUUACUUUCACUCUUCAGUUGCAAAUUUUGCAAACUUGCGUUCCCCAUCACAUUAUUCUGUAUAUGUUAAAUUACUCCGAAAAUUUCUCUACUCCGCUAAUAACAAACGGGAGGCACUGCAUCCCUCCCUUCCUAAGAUGAGUCAUCCUGUGACUGGAGUACUUUUAUGUUUGGUGUAUGGUUGUCAAACUUUUAUUUUAGAACUACUUAAUAAAAUUACGACUUACUGACGAGCUUUUCCA